CUAAAGUGAGUAAAGAUAAGAUGAAGUCUGAAUUUGGUCAAAAAAAGAAAACCCCAGAAGGAGCAGAGUCAAGACGUAUGCAAUGCUCAGAGCUCAGAGAGCUGACCAGGUUGCAUGAGAAGUCUCCGAAGACCUAGAAAAAGGUUUUGCUUACUUUAAAGAAAUGAAAUGGAAGUUCUGUGUCAUUGGCUUGUCCAGCUGAAGGGCUGGUGGGUCAUCAUCAGGGAGCGUGGUAGGUAAGAGAAGGCACAGGAGGCUGUCCCGUGAUCGAAACUCUUUUAGUAACUGGAAUAGAGACCAUUUCAAAUCCAAACCGAGUCACCAGACGUCAGCUACAUGUGAGAUGAAAAACACAGUGAAGAAGUUGGAGCAUGACUCUCAUUCACCGUUCACUGUCUUUGGUUAAAAGCCCACUGGAAAAUGAAUGCAAGAUCUUUAGCAAAAAAAAAAAAAGGUAGAGAUUUGUAACAAAAUCUAUUAGCAAAGAUAUAUGACUCUGCAAAGGGGACUGAUUCAGGAAGAGUAAGAGAGAACAGAAGGAGCCGCAGGGUCAGCAACAAAGGAAAUGAGAACUUAAGAGGAGAGAAUUCAAGAAAAGGAGGAAGAAUUGCCGAAGCCAAGUGGUCUGGAUAAAUUCCAGAUUGCUAUUCAUGAAAAGAAAGCUUCUGACAGCUGGGGUCACUGUUGGUCAUUCAGCAAAACGAGCUCUUGCUGGAGAGAAGAUCAGGCUGUGCACUCCAGGUGUAAAUUAACACAGGCGGACCAGGGGCAGCAGGCUCACUGCCAGUUGGGGGUACACACAGACACACACAAGCACACAGACGUACACGCACAUGCACACACAUACACAGAUGCACACAGACACACGCACAUGCACACACAGAGGCACAGACACACGCACAUGCACACACAGAUGCACACAGACACACGCACAUGCACACACAGAGGCACAGACACACGCACAUGCACACACAGAUGCACACACACACACACAUGCACACACAGAGGCACAGACACACGCACAUGCAUACACAGAUGCACACAGACACACGCACAUGCACACACAGAGGCACAGACACACGCACAUGCACACACAGAUGCACACAGACACACGCACAUGCACACACAGAGGCACAGACACACGCACAUGCACACACAUACACAGAUGCACAUGCACACACAGACACACACGUGCACACAGACACUUGCACAGACACAUGCACACACAUACACAGAUGCACACAGACACACGCACAUGCACACACAGAGGCACAGACACACGCACAUGCACACACAGAUGCACAUGCACACACAGACACACACGUGCACACAGACACUUGCACAGACACAUGCACACACAUACACAGAUGCACACAGACACACGCACAUGCAUACACAGAUGCACAUGCACACACAGACACACACGUGCACACAGGACACACAAUAGUGCACAUGCACAUGCACACAGAUGCACAUGCACACACAGACACACAGGUGUGCACGCAGGGUGCCUUUUCUCCAGAGGUGCGCCUCUUUUUUUUUUUUAAUUGAGGCAAAAUUCAUAUAACACAAAAUUAGCCAGUUAAAGUGAAUGACUCAGUGGCAUUUAGCACAUUCAGUGUUUGCAAGCACCACUUCCACCUAGUUCCAGGACAUUUGCAUCCCCCCAGAAUAAAACCUCAGGCCAUUAGGCAGUUUCUCCCCAAUCCCCUCCCUCUAGCCCGUGGAAACCACCGCUCUGCUGUUUCCAUGGAUUUACCUGUUCUGGGUGUUCCAUGUAAAUGGAAUCACCCACGUAUGACCUUUUGUGUCUGGCUGCUCUGUUAGCACUGGAACCUUAGGAAGCAGGGGCGCAGGGCAUUCUUGCUGGCCCAGCAGCAGCUCAGCACUCAGGCCCACCCCAAUCCCCCUUCCCACCACCUUCC
ensembl:lncRNA